rnacentral:rRNA from 1 species
CCUUCGGGUCUAGUGGCGCACGGGUGCGUAACGCGUGGGAAUCUGCCCUUAGGUUCGGAAUAACUCAGGGAAACUUGAGCUAAUACCGGAUAAUGACUUCGGUCCAAAGAUUUAUCGCCUAAGGAUGAGCCCGCGUAGGAUUAGCUAGUUGGUGAGGUAAAGGCUCACCAAGGCUACGAUCCUUAGCUGGUCUGAGAGGAUGAUCAGCCACACUGGGACUGAGACACGGCCCAGACUCCUACGGGAGGCAGCAGUGGGGAAUAUUGGACAAUGGGCGAAAGCCUGAUCCAGCAAUGCCGCGUGAGUGAUGAAGGCCUUAGGGUUGUAAAGCUCUUUUACCCGGGAUGAUAAUGACAGUACCGGGAGAAUAAGCUCCGGCUAACUCCGUGCCAGCAGCCGCGGUAAUACGGAGGGAGCUAGCGUUGUUCGGAAUUACUGGGCGUAAAGCGCACGUAGGCGGCUUUGUAAGUUAGAGGUGAAAGCCCGGAGCUCAACUCCGGAAUUGCCUUUAAGACUGCAUCGCUUGAAUCCAGGAGAGGUGAGUGGAAUUCCGAGUGUAGAGGUGAAAUUCGUAGAUAUUCGGAAGAACACCAGUGGCGAAGGCGGCUC